AAGACCAAACCUUAGUCCUCCCUCUUUUUCCUUUUAGAGAAAAUACUCAUUUGGCCUUCCUGGAAGGAGCUUGGAAAAUAGUGAAAGUUUCUAAUUUUUCGAAUUUUUGUUGUUGUUAUCUUUAGACAGCUGUGAAAAAUUAUCUCUGGACUGUACUACGGAUUGAAUAUACUUUUUGAAAGGAGAGAUCAUACUUGUGCACACCACAAGUUGGAACUAAAUUAAUGCCAAUAGGUGCUUUGCGAUGCAGGCGCUUCAUUCAUAUGACGACUUCUGAUAUCAUGGAUGAAGAGGGAUGUAGUAGUGGUAAAGGGAAGAUAUCAAAUGGAUCAGCGAUGAUGGAUUUUGAUAUUGAUGAUCUCUUUGAAGUGGAUGAUGAUGAUUGGGAUGAGGAUGAGGAUGAGGACGACGAUGAUAAUCUUGAUGUGGCUCCAAUCAAAGAGUUGGGUGAAGGUUUCUUGAAGAACUUUUGUAAAAAGGCAUCAACUGGUUUUUUUGAGAAGUACGGCUUGAUUAGUCAUCAGAUUAAUUCCUAUAAUGACUUCAUCAACUUUGGAAUCCAAAGGGUGUUUGACUAAAUCACAUAUUUAAGCUUGUUACUUGAUUAGUCAUCAGAUUAAUUCCUAUAAUGACUUCAUCAACUUUGGAAUCCAAAGAGUGUUUGACUCGGUUGGAGAGAUCCAUGUUGAGCCAGGGUAUGAUCCAUCAAAGAGAGGUGAUGGUGAUU
rnacentral:lncRNA from 1 species